rnacentral:rRNA from 1 species
UACCAGCUCUUCGAGUGGUGUGGAUGUUUAUUUGGCCUAAAGCAUCCGUAGCUGGCUGGGCAAGUCCCCUGUUAAAUCCACCGAUUUAAUCGUUGGAGUGCGGGGGAUACUGUUCGGCUAGGGGACGGGAGAGGCAGACGGUAUUUUCGGGGUAGGGGUGAAAUCCUAUAAUCCCGGGAAGACCACCAGUGGCGAAGGCUGUCUGCUAGAACGCGCCCGACGGUGAGGGAUGAAAGCUGGGGGAGCGAACCGGAUUAGAUACCCGGGUAGUCCCAGCUGUAAACGAUGCAGGCUAGGUGUUUGGGCGGCCACGUGCCGCUCUAGUGCCGCAGGGAAGCCGUUAAGCCUGCCGCCUGGGGAGUACGGCCGCAAGGCUGAAACUUAAAGGAAUUGGCGGGGAGCACAGCAACGGGAGGAGCGUGCGGUUU